UGGUGCUGUCACAGUGGUGGAGGCGCCCGUUCGCCUUCCACGGCGACUCGGCCCUCCCUGGCAACGAAGUGAAUGAAAGGAAUUUUACUAUAAUUAUUCAACUGAUUGGACUCCUGAAUUACGUGCCAAAAAUAUAAGACAAGGAAAAAUGCAACGCCCUGUCGUGGCUUUAUGGUCGUUGAUUUAAACAACGCCCCCAAACAAGAGUAUCUCAGAUUGUCGGAUUGUUUGGCACCCUGAAGUUUCUACCGUGGUAAGAAUUUAUGACAGGAAACAUGAAGUGCUAUGGUUGGCCAGGCCGUGGCCAUGUGCCUGCCCUCAAGGCCAAGAGGACAGGGUCUAUCAAUAAAAGAGGGGAAGCUUGCUGGACAAAAUAAUAAUAACACAAGCAACCGAGGACCUCUUUUCCAAGUAGUGAAGAUGAGACCCAGCUUCCUACUCUCCCCAAAAUCAAAGAAUCCCAUUAAAGGUAUGCUAUGCCAAUAGGCUUAUAUUUUGAAAUACUGUGUGAUCAAACGUUCAUGGAUUGUUUUAUUUUGCAUGUAUGAUACUGCCAUCUCUUCUGAUCUGGUGUGGUCAAGAACACAGACACUGAAGUCAAAGACAUCUGGAUUCAAAAGUAGCUCCACCACUUGUGAAUACAAAUAAUAUCACUGUUAUUGAUCACUGUGUAUGAAGCAAGGCACUUUACGUAUAUUGUCUACUACUGCUUCUCACACAAACCCUGAGAAGCACAUGUACUGCCAGUUUUCAGAUGUAGUGCCUGAAGGACAGGACAGUUAAUUAACUUGCCCAAAGAUAGCACUGGAGCAGAAGCAGCUCAGUUCUUAACCCUAGAGAGUUGAUCACUGGGAUAAAUUGCUUUUCCAUGUGUUUCCUGGCUUUGAAAACACCUUCAGAAAUUUUAGCUUACAAUAGCUUGCAGUAUAGUUUUAGCAAGAAAUCUGUGACUUUUAACAAAUUACCUGUCUUUUCCGACCCUCACAUUCUUUAUCUGUAAGCUUAUGAAGUUAGGACUAGAAGAUUUCUUGUAUUCAUUCCAGUGUGACAAUGUGAGAGUCUAUUAUUCUUUCCACUAUUAUUAAAUUUUACUAUGUUAACAGUAGAUGGUGCUAUUGAGUACUAGCUCCAAAAGCCAAUAAAAAACAGGUUCUAAUUCCUCAGUACAUGGAUCUCACGUAGGAGAUACUUACCUGUCCAUCAGAGUAUUGGAGGUAAGGGGAUGCCGAGAAAAUAUGUACAUUAAAAGUUUCUUAAGCUUAUGUGGAAUCUAAAGAAUAUGAAUAUAUAUACAAAACAGAAACAGACACAGACAAAACGGCUAUCAGAGGCAGAGGGAGGGACAAAUUAGGGCAUGGGACUAACAUACAAACUACUGUACAUAAAACAGAUAAGCAACAAAGAUUUACUGUAUAGCAUAGAGUUAAACGCAAUAUCUUGUAAUAACCUAUAGUGGAAUAUAAUCUGCAAAAAUCCUGAAUCACUAUGCUGUACACCUGAAACUAACACAAUAUUGUAAAUCAACUAUACUUUACUUUUUAAAAAAGUUUCUUAAGCUCAAAGACUUUAUGCUAUGCUACUUUAGAACAUGAAAAAAAGAAAGGUUUAAAUAUAUAAUCCACAUAUUGACCCACAUUUUUUAUUUUAUUUACUGUAGUGGAUGUUUUAAGUAGACUUAUUAUCAUUAAAAUUCUGACUAAAACAGAUGGCAUCCAUUUCCUGAUUAUUUUAAGGAUGAAUCAGAGCCACAAUUUUGCUCAUAAUUCUAUUUUAUACUUAUUAUAUGUAUUAAAGCCCCACA